UGUUGUAAUAGCAUUGCCUUGCUAGAAUACUCAAGGCCUUGCCUGAAAAAAGAUGUCGUCUGGACAGCAGCACAUUUUGCCAAAACCAUAUAUCAGGGGUCUUUAAUUCAAAUUCAGUAAGGUCCAGUCAAAGAAAAUUUCCUCAGCUUGAUUUCAUCAGCACACAGUUAAAAAGCCAGUAUUCAUGAUGGUACAGGGGUGCAUUAGUGCACAUGGCAUGGCUGACGUGCACAUCUGUGAAGUCAACAUUAACGCUGAAUGAUAUAUGGCAGAGGUCACUAAUAGGCGGGCCGCGGUCCGAGUUCAGACCCAGACGCUGUCCUGUGUGGACCUGGACCUGUAACUGAUAAACUAUGGAUAAUUAUUUAAUUUCAACAGGGUGGUCCUAAUUUUAUCGGCGUAACAUUUCAAGUCAUUACGGCAGCCUGGGAGACUCGCAGACUAAUUGCAUGCUUGUGAAUAUCACACGACGCUACUCAGCCAAUUAGAUCUGUGCAUUACGAGGCGCACUGCGACUCAAAUGAGUGACACACACACAAGGGAGUAAAUAUUGUUGAAAUAUCACUGAAUUGUACUUUAUUUGAUUUGACAUUCAGUUGUUGACUUUUCUGCGUUUACAGUGCGUUUGUGAAAUGUAGUUCAGGUGUCGUCAUUUUGAUGAAAGUGUUUUUUGUGUUUGCAGCGCGUUUAUGAGUUUGCAAAGUGUUUUCAAUUAUACUAUCAAUAGCAUCUUGUUGGCCACUGAAAAUAUGAGCCAAAAUGAAAAAUGAAACCUCUGUUACACAGUUUUCAUGUCGCUUGACCUCUUUUUUUGUACUUCAAACAUAUUUGCUUGAUUGAAAAGCAACAAAAACAGUGAAAUGUCGUGCACACAUGAGAUUACAUUUAAACAGUAAUAUACCGUAAAUGUGCCAAAAUGAAAAGUAAACGCUCUGUUACACUGAUUUAACGGAGGAAAGCAGGAUAGUGAAGACUUUUUUACGUUUCCUGGCCGAGUGUAUUCAAUUCAGACAUGAGUUCAGUCUUGUUUUUACAGCUAGGAAUUCAAGCGACGUGAGAACGUUGUGAUGGAAGGUUUGUUUUUCAUUUGGCUCGUAUUCUGCACGUCACUACGGAAAAAUAACAGUAACUGCUUUUCAGUUUGUUCCUCUACAUACGAGAGAGCAAGCACCAACGUGGUUAUCAGUACUUUCCCCUCAUUUGAACGUUGCUCUCCUUGUGGACUUUCUGUCUUACAGUCUGAGAGAAAGGUGAGGCUGAAGGAGAUCAUCAGGAGGAAUUCCAAACACGCUGCUCUGCUCUUAUUGUCGUGACCUGUCCCUCAGGGCUGCUGUCUCUGCCCUCUCUACAUGGCUUGACUGGACACACUGAGCUGUGGACUGCACUGCCCCGUCCUGCUGAUUAGAGGAAACCAGCAGAAUGUCCUCACCUUCUACUGCCAGUAACUCACUCAUCCACAAUCACUUAGCACUUAUCAAGGAAUUCAUGUAGAAAAAAUCAAAGAAAUUUGAAUACGUUUGUUGUUAUGUGUACAAAUUCUAAUAUAUAACACAGUGAACAACAUGAUCAGCUGAGGUAUCAUGAAGAGAGACAGUGGUUUAGGAACAGCACUUCACUGAUUACUUUGUAAAUUAUCAUUUAAAUGAAACUCAUGUUCAACUUUUGUAGCAUUCAGUUUGACAUCAGUCCAUCCUGCCUGACAUUUCUAGAUAUUUCUGCAGACUUUGAUUUGCUGUAUAUUAGACUAGGAGAACUAAACUUAACUUACAUUUUAAUGAGAUAACGAGUUGGUUCCCUGGACAGAGAUUAAAUUAAAUUCCAUGUUUUUUUUUUUUCUUCAAUUGGGGUGUAUCUCAGAGAUGUCCAGUUCUAGUUCUGGAGAUCUGCCACCCUGCAGAGUUCAGCUCCAACCCUGAUCUGACACACCUGAUCCAGAUAAUCAAGGCCUCCAGGCACAUCUGAAUAUUAGAGCCAGGUGAGUUGGAUGUGAGCUUUUCAGAGUGAUGGAUCUCCAGGAGCAGGACUGAGCACCCCGGCUGUAACUCUUACCUCAGUUAAACAAACUCGUAAAUAAAACAGUGACUUUUUAUUAUUAUGACUUAAUUUACGAGGCUGUAAAAAUCCAAGUUUUGCUGGCCAGAAACUUUGAUUUUACAAGACAUUGAUUUCUUGAGGAUCAGGGUUUGUAUAGCGAUGCACGACUCUGUGUUUUCUGUUGUCGACUGCACUUAAUUUAAAGCCAAGGCUGCAUCCACAACCGCGUACUACUACUAUAUCAUACAUACUGUAGUGCACUUUGCUAUUAAAAGAUACACAGCUUUCGCACAAGUCAUGGUGCUUUAUUCUUCAGCUGUUUUUUGUCCACAGCUACAGCGUAUAUAAGGUUUUCUCUUUACUAACAGCUCGUUGCUACCCAGCUCACAUCUGACUCUCUCAGCUAUUUCUGCUCACCACACUUAUCCCCCCCAGGCGGACCUUGCCUUGCCCUUCAUAGUAAGAGUCCUCAGCAGAAAAACCCUGUGAAGUGCUGAAGAAUAAAUAACCCAAAACCAACAUGCAAAACAUUUCUUGAACACACUACAGUUUUGUUGCAUUUGGUUGAAGAUGAAAAAACAACAUUAAAUCAAUGUUGAAUGUUGAUUGAAGAAAUGAACCUAAUGUUUAGGUUAAAAAACAGACAUUGAAUCAAUAAUGAAUUAUAGUUUGUGGAUCAACAUGGCCAUAGUAAAUAUGAGCUAAGACAGACUGAUAAUACACCUUCACACAUUUACAGACUUGUAGAAAAGUCUUUAAUGUUCAAAGGCAAACAUUUCAUUUCAGUUUUGGGGAUAAAAUAUUACUAACAUGGUUUUGAGGAUGGAGCUCAUGAGUCCCCCUAAAUUAACACAUGAUCCAUAUAUUAGGAUUUGUUUCACCAUGGCAGCAAAACUCAUCUUGGCCAGUGACUGGAAAAUGGCAGAGUGCACAGUCUUAUGUAGACGUUUGGACUUUGGACUUGGUCAAAUCACUCAUUGUUGAUGCUCCAAGCGUGAAUAUGAUAAAAAACCCUUCACAGGUAUAAAUUUAAAUAUGAUGUAUGUCUCCACACUUAGACACACACACAAUGUAUUUAAAGUGCCAUUUUACACGUCACUUUUUUGUGAUAUGUUAAAUUAAGGAAAUAGACGGUAAUCGUGCUUUAGAAGGUGCAGAAGUACAAAUGUGUCUGUAGAGAAAAUCAACAGCACACAGUUUUAUCAGGGAUGUCCACAGAGUUUUAUCAGGGACUACAAUCUAAACUGUACAUAGAUUGUAGUUUAUGUAUGUAAAUUAUUGUAAAACCAAACACUGUGGGCAGUUUGACCACUGCUGUCAUGAUAAGUUACUGGAAUAAGCAGUGUCUUUUUCUGAGCAUGUGGUGGACAUUAAACAUUGAACAGUUGCGUGUUCCAUUUAAAAAAGUGUGCAGCAAAUUUUGAAUGAAUUGUACUGAAUAAUAGGUGUUGUGUAAGGUGUAGUGGUGUAACGGAUCGUAGUUGAUCCAGGACCCCCAUGGAUGGUUGUGUAUCACAUGUACGGCUCAUGUUAAGCCCAUUUCACACCAGACACAGUAAACGUGCUACAAGCAAUAAUUAAGCAAUUAAAUUAGUGUUGUGCGAUAUGACCAACAUUUCAUAUAUCCUGAAAGCAUUAUCACAAUAUAGCACAUCUACUGUAAAUUAAAUCAAUACAUUUUAUUUUCAUAAAAUGAACAGAUUGAAAGUAGGGCUGUGUGAUAGGGACCAAAAAUCAUAUCUUAAUAUUGUUACGCUAAGUGGCCAUACAUGAUAUACAGUAUUUCUGUGUAUUUUCUACAAAGUGGGCUAAAUAUUUAUUUUAGAGGUAACAAACACUUUUAUUAAAACAGAUUGUACUGUUGUACAGUGCUGUGAUACAAGUAUAUAUUUGGAUUAUGUAGAUUUGACUGAGACUAAUUGUAUUUAUUUUUUUAUUUGUUUGAACCCCAGAUGGUGAAAAAGGAGAUGAACAACACAAUUUCACAGAUUUGUUGUUUUAACAGAGGUAAGUAGUAGUAGCAGUAGUAGAGGUAAGUAGUCUUGUUCUUGAAGUGUGGUGCAUUGAAUGAUGUUGCAAACAGCAUGACUUCCUACUGGUCAGUGAGACGGAGGAUAAUAAGGGAUGUAAGUAGGAUAGAAAAAGAAAGCUACACAGUUCUGCAUGAACAGGAAUAGACCCUUUUCACAAAAUACUGGAAAUACAGAAGCACUGGAUAAACAAAUUCCUGUUCUGCUUUACCUCAGACACUCCCACAUUCUCAUCACUUCAGCUCAUCACCCAAUGUUUUACCUUUUUAAUCGUUGCUAAUCAUCUCUGGGUCUGUUAAACAGUUUACAGCUGGAGAGACGUAAAGAAAUCAGUGACAAAUUAACAAAUACGCGAGCAGGAGACGUCUCUACUGAAUGAAUGGCUCAGUCUCCAACCACUCCAUAUUCUCUAUCUAGUGAACUAAUAAAAACAGCCUGUAUGCCCAAAUAUUUCAUUAUAUUAAAGCAGAAGGAAGACGACUACAUCCAGCCACGGAUAACAAGGCUCUCUGCUUAACAAUUAAAGUUCGAUUAAGGUCUAGAGGACAUUUUUUCAUGUUUCUUAGUGUACUUAAAGGUUUAGAUAGUGAUUUGGGACUCGGUCCAAAAUAUCUCGUGCCCAAAAGCUCUUGGCUUCUUUAAAGUUUUGGUAGAUGAAAAGCAUCUGAAACAACACAAUUUCAGCUCAAACAACCUUAAGUGCAGUAGAAAACUGUGAAAUAGUGAUUGAUGCUUGUACAUGAAGGUGCGCUCUCCUCUAUUAACAGGAAUAGGUAAAUACAGGGUGAUUCAGAAAGAUUCAUCUGAUUUCAAAAUGAUUUAUUUCACUUGUAAAUCAUUACAGAACAAUGCAGUAGAGUGUAAAUUGUUUAAGUGAGCAUAAAGUUUAUUAUGUAAUUGUAUAUGUGCUCAGUAUGAACCUCCUCCAGCUGUACGGACAACAUCAACGCCAUAUUCAGAUUCAUCCCAUACUCGAUUGAGCAUGUCGGGUGUCGCUGCACUCACGGCUCUUUCAGUGCGAUUUCGGAGAUCAUCCGGUGUUGUGGAACCAACGACAAACACUCCGAGCUGUUGGAGCUUCACUGCCCACAUAAAUCGCGCUGCACAGUUAUGACUGAUUCACUCUUAUUGAAAUGGUGAACGCAGAACGCUUUCUGCUCAGGGGUCGCUUCACCUCGCAGACUGAAGGGAGCCAGUCAGAAACUCUAUGACUGCCUCUUUCAGUUGGAUUGUGAUUGGUUCCUAGGUGACUCACAGUUGUAGAAAUACGGUGCUUUGAAAUGGGAUUAAUCUUUUUAAAUCACCCUGUACUAUGAAAUGUGAUGCAUAGUGUACUGUAGUGUCAGGGUCAGACAUGUUGCAGAUUUUGGCUGAGUUUGUUGUUUCAGAUGCUUUUUAUCUGCAAAAACCUUGAAGACGCCAAGAGCUCUGUAGUAGGACGAGAUAUUUUGGACCGAGUCCUGAAUCAAUUUCUACACCCUGCAUAAGUGCACUAAGAAACAUAAGUCAUUAAAAAACUACACGUUAAUGGAACUUUAAUUGUUAAGCAGAGAGCCUUGUUAUCCGUGGCUGGAUGUAGUCGUCUUCCUUCUGCUUUAAUAUAAUGAAAUAUUUGGGCAUACAGGCUGUUUUUAUUAGUUCACUAGAUAGAGAAUAUGGAGUGGUUGGAGACUGAGCCAUUCAUUCAGUAGAUUUUAGGCACCCAAGCACAUUAUUUAAUUAAUUAGAACUCAUACAGGUGAACAUAAAAACAGGAAAAAGAAAGCAGAACGUCUCUUGUCAAAGUUUGGGUCCAGAUUUCACCUCCCAGUGUGUGUUUGUUCAGUUCCAUCACCAGCUCAUCCCUUAGCCAAUCAGAGGUAUCGUAUAUCUGUAAUAUUAUAGGCAAAUUUUUAUACCAAUUCUGAAAUCUCAUUGGCUGAGCAGUGUUUCGAGCUGUAUGUACAUGUUUAUUGCAAACAUUGUAGAAACCUUAUUUAAUCUAAUGUUUAUUUUUGCAUGUGUCCAGGUUUGCACUGGAAAUGAUGCGACGUAUUUUGCGGUCAGCCUUGACCAACUGUUAGUUAACCAAGACCUGUCUUUUCAACUGGGCUGGGAAAUGAGAGACCGUUCAAAGACAGGCUUUGAAAGACUGCAUAUUUGGUGUCAGCAACAUAAAUCACUGACGCUGAUGGUCUUUCCUGAUGUGGUCAAGAAGCGGCUGCGUUAUGCACCAGAAAGGGAGGGGUGCGUUCCCAGAAACACAAGCCGUAGUUGACUUUCUAAAUGAACCUUUGCUUUAUUUUGUAACUGUAGAUGAAAAUGACUCAUUAAAAGGUCUCAUCAGUUUUGUGUUUAGUUCUGUAUUUUCUCUUUCUGGCAGAUGAGCUUUACUCGGACUCUUCGCUGAAAAACGUGUACUUUCCCACUUACCCCAGGCACAGUUGAUCAGCCAAGACAUGUUUAAUAAUCACCAUUUUAUUAGUUGACUGUUUUUAUCUUGUUACUACUGAAUGUAUCUAAGUAUAUCUGAAUAUAUGUACUGAAUGUUUCAGAGUGAUUCUGUUACUGUAGUGGAGUGUUACUGAAUAUAACAUGACUUCUUCAUGAAAACACA